GAAACCCUUCCUAAAAGCAACACAACUUCGUAGUUUAUUGCUCAAUGCUCAGUUCCAAACUUCCCUUACAGUGCUCUUUGGGCUCCACGUUUCUCUUCCUCUUCUCACGUUUCAUCAAUGGUUAGUGAAGCAUUUUAAUGGCCGAGAGUGGAUACCGUGUGCUUGUUAAGAAGUAGACUUUAAAGUCUAAUUCAAUCCUACAAAACCAGCUUGUAAGGAACGUGAAAGGGUACCUAAGUACAUUCUUCUUUCACUGGCAUCAGUUGAGACUGGCAAUGAAGUAGACAUAUGGGCUAUGUAAGGUUGGUACCAACAGAACUCAACCAAACUAGUUAUCAAUAACCGAAACGUUUAGUUCCGGAUUCAAAUUCCUUUACCGUUUAUGGCUUCAUAUUCUCGUACCAUAACAUGAUAACAUUAAUCUGAAUCAGAAGGUUUUGGUAUCAGCUUAAUAAUACUUGUACCAAUUUUUGAUAAGGUUUAUGUC